rnacentral:misc_RNA from 1 species
GUCCCGCAUGAGCUUGUAUGGAGAUUUCUUCAAACACUACCACCGUCUUCUUUACCUCCUACAAGUCUGCUCAAGGGUUCGUUCCCUUGACACAACAAAACCUCUCCACGCACUAACUAUCACUCUUGGUCCAAGCCCCAACCAACCUACUUUUCUUUAUAACAAUAUUAUCUCUCUAUAUGCUUCACUGGAUGAGUUGCCGAUGGCACAUAAGGUGUUUGAAAACAUGCCCCAAAGGAGCGUUGUAUCCUAUAAUUCAAUGAUCAGUUCCUAUUGUAGGUAUGAUUAUUUAGAGGAAGCCUGGGCAAUUUUUCGUCAGAUGAAAAAUUUUGGGUUUAGGCCCAACAACUUCACAUUUGCUGGAUUAUUGUUGUGUGCAUCUAUGGAUCUGCGUCUUGGGGUUCAGUUGCAGACAUAUGCAAUGAAGAAUGGGUUGUUUUACGCUGAUGCUUAUGUGGGUACUGCUUUGUUGGGUUUGUUUGGAAGGUUUGGGUGGUUAGAUGAGGCAUUCUGUGUUUUUGAGGAUAUGCCUACUAAGAGCUUGGUGACAUGGAAUUCAAUGAUAUCUUUGUUUGGAAAUCAAGGCUGUGUGGAAGAUUGUGUGCAUUUAUUUUGUGAGUUUUUUAGGAAAGAGGGUUGUUUGUCUGAAUGUUCUUUUGUGGGUGUCUUGUCUGGAUUAGUAUGUGAGGAAAGUUUGGAAUUUGGAGAGCAAAUACAUGGUUCAGUCAUUAAAAGAGGGUUUGAUUAUAAAGUUUCAGUCGUGAACUCCCUUAUUAAUAUGUACGCGAAAUGUGCAAGCAUGCACCUAGCGGAGAAAACGUUUGAGGAGGCAGCUUGUACAGAUGUUGUGACAUGGAAUACAAUUAUUGGUGCAUUGGCAAAAAACAAGAAGCCGAGAGAAGCUUUAGAGCAAUUUUUAAAAAUGUAUGAGAAUGGAAUUAUGCCUAACCAGACUACAUUUGUAAGUCUCAUCAGUUCUUGUGCCAAUUUACUGAUCCCAAUGUAUGGAGAAUUUGUCCAUGCUAAAAUAAUCAUGCAUGCUCUGGAAACUGAUGUUUAUGUUGGUAGUGCCUUGGUGGAUUAUUAUGCUAAAUGUGGCAAACUGGAUGAUGCCAAGCGUUGUUUUGUUACAAUAAAUGAGAAGAAUGAGGUUUCUUGGAAUGCUUUAAUUCAGGGUUGUGCGAAUAAAUGCCCUUCUGCUUCUAUUUCCUUGCUUCUAGAAAUGCUUCAAUGUGGAUACCGGCCUAAUGAGUUUUCAUUUUCAGCUGUUCUGAAAUCAUCAUCAAAAUUAGAGAUACAGCAACUUCAUUGUCUGAUUAUUAGAAUGGGCUAUGAGGAUAAUGAAUAUGUGUUAGCUUCCCUUAUUUCGUCCUAUGGCAGGAAUGGUCUCAUAUCUGAUGUGCCUGUCUUCAUUGCAGCUUCUGAAACACCACUUUCUGCUGUUCCCUCUAACAAUAUUGCCGGAAUCUAUAACAGAUCUGGCCAGUACCAUGAAGCAUUAAAGUUGCUUUCUCAGCUUGAAGAACCAGAUGAUGUUUCUUGGAAUAUUGUCAUUGCAGCUUGUGCUCGCAAUCGUAAUUAUAAAGAGGUUUUUGAACUUUUCAAGCACAUGCUUAUGGCUCGAAUCCAUCCAGAUAAUUAUACGUAUGUUAGCCUUAUAAGUGUGUGUAGUAAGAUUUGCGAUCUUGCUUUGGGUAGUUCUGUCCAUGGUUUCCUCAUAAAGAUUAAUUUCAGUUUUUGUGAUGCAUUUGUCUGCAAUGUAUUGAUAGACAUGUAUGGAAAAUGUGGGUGCCUUGGAAGUUCAGUAAAAAUCUUUAAUGGUAUGACAGAUAGAAACCUCAUCACAUGGACGGCUCUAAUUUCAGCCCUUGGAAUUAACGGUUGUGCCUAUGAAGCAUUGGAAAGGUUCAAAGAGAUGGAAUAUCUGGGGUUUAGACCCGAUAAGGUUGCUUUUAUUGCAGCACUUACAGCAUGCAGACAUGGUGCUUUAGUAAGAGAAGGGAUAGAAUUGUUUGAGAAAAUGAAUAGUUAUGGUAUUGAACCAGAAAUGGAUCAUUAUCAUUGUUUUGUGGAUUUAUUGGUGAGAAAUGGACAUGUUAGGGAAGCAGAGAAAGUAAUUUCCAGCAUGCCUUUCCCACCUAAUCCCUACAUAUGGCGUAGUUUUCUUGAAGGCUGCAAGAGAUAUGGUACAGUAGAGGAUCAAGUUAUGGGAAUGUGAACUUAAGGCUUGUAGACUGACAAUGAGACAUCAGACAUGCGAAUUGAACUUGUUCAAUGAAUUAUUUUCUCAAAUGUUCCUCUUGUGACUUUCUGACCUUGGAAGUUCAUGUCACCUAGCGCAUUUAUGUCAACAAACAAAGAAAGAUCUCACAGUGUAAAUUUCCAAGGUUGCUGAUUGUUUAUUUUGGCUGGUGGUGAUUUAAGCUCGCAUAAUGCAGAUGGAGGGCAAACAGCAUUACGGAUUUAGCAAAAGGAUUUCUUCUUCCUUUCUUCUCUACUUGAUAUGGGGUGCCAUACUGAUCUACUGUCAUCAUGAAAUUUUGUAAUAUUAAACGAUCAGAAGUGGCAAACCUCAUAUUUUGUGGACAGCAUCGAGAGCAUGUUCCCUUGAGCACAUUCGCACCAAAGCCAAAACUUGUUAUGAAUCUACGAACAAAAAAGUCAUUUUGAGCAAUCUUCUCCUGCUUCAUCAACAGAUGCCAAAAUAUUUCCUUUGAUCAAGGUUUUGGUUGUGUUCAUGAUUGUGUUGAUGAUGAUACUUGUGAUGAGGUCUGAGGCAAGAGAGCUUGAUAGCCGCCUUCUUUUACACAAAAUGGGAUACACUGAAUCAAAACUGGAGUAUCACUGGAGGAUUUCUAAGCUAAAUUCAUAUACUGAUAGAGUGUCACCUGGAGGACCGGAUCCUGAGCAUCACUCUCAUUUUCCAGGAAAGCCUUGACGUCUUAAUAUAUGCAAGAUGCAGCACCUAUAUAUACUUAAGUGUAUUUUUGGUUGCUUAUGUUUCCUGUCUUUUGAAUAAAUAUAUGUAUGCUGCUUGGCCUACUGCUAUAUACGUGUGACACUAAAAUAAAAGCUAUUGUAGAAUGUAGAAAACUGCAACCAAGAAGUUUCACCUGCACGUUGUAA